GAUGAAGAAACUAUUAGGUUGGUGCAGAAGUAAUCGCGGUUUUUGCCAUUGAAAGUAAUGGCAAAAACCGCAAUUACUUUUGCACCAACCACAAA
ensembl:miRNA